CGUAAUAAUAGAAACUAACCAGGAUUCCCUUAGUAACGGCGAGUGAACUGGGAUGCCAAUAUAAAAUAUGUACCUCGCGUGCAUAAAUUAGCCCGUCGAUACUAUCCUAGCGUAUGUACCGGUCUUCGGGUCGGUACUCAAAUACGCGGGAAUUGUAGCAUCGUAAUAAAAAAAAAAUAUACAGCACGCACACACACACACUGCCAACAUGCGUACCACUUGUAAACACACAGCGUCUCCGCGUUGGAAAGCAAGUUUAUAUCCUCUUUGGAUAUGCCAUAGAGUGUGACAGCCACGUUUCACCCUAAAGUACGCACACACACACACACACGGCACGUGCGAGUGCAAUACGUAUAUAUUCUAUAACCUGAGUCGAGUUAUUU
rnacentral:rRNA from 1 species